AACGAACGCUGGCGGCGUGCUUAACACAUGCAAGUCGAACGAUGAACCGGAGCUUGCUCUGGGGAUUAGUGGCGAACGGGUGAGUAACACGUGGGCAACCUGCCCCAGACACCGGGAUAACCAUUCGAAAGGAUGGCUAAUACCGGAUACGACCACUUCGGGCAUCCGAUGGUGGUGGAAAGGAUUCUGGUCUGGGAUGGGCCCGCGGCCUAUCAGCUUGUUGGUGGGGUAAUGGCCUACCAAGGCGACGACGGGUAGCCGGCCUGAGAGGGGGGCGGGCCACAUGGGGACGGAGAAACGGCCCGGCAGCCUAGGGGAGGAAGCAGGGGGGAAUAUUGCGCAAGGGGCGAAAGCCUGACGCAGGGACGCCGCGGGAGGGAGGAGGGUCUUGGGAUCGUAAACCUCUUUCAGCAGGGAUGAAGCGAAAGUGACAGUACCUGCAGAAGAAGCACCGGCUAACUACGUGCCAGCCGCCGCGGUAACAC
rnacentral:rRNA from 1 species